UCAGAGUAAAGACUAAUUUUUAUUGGAUUUGGCUAUGUGACUUUCUUAGUUGAAAUACCACAUUGACAAACACUGUUAAUACAGCAGCUGUUAAUACAAACUUACAGUAAAGAAACAUAUUCCUUGCUAGCAUAAUAAAAAUACAGAGAAACACACACGAUUAAAAUUAAAUCCAAUUUUAUACUUUUUUUAACACUUAAAACCAACCUCUUCCAGAUUUCCUGUUAACACUUCCCUUUGUGCUUUCAGUCCAGUUAGAAAUUACAAAUGAUUAUAAAUCUUAAGAAGAGUCUGAUACAAAAUUGUACAAAAUUGACCAGACCUGUGAAAAAUAACUACCCUUUACAAAAACUGUAAUUCAAGGUUACCAACAUUAGUCAUUUCCUGUUUUUGGCCUUUUUAAGUAUUCUUGGCAAUUUUCUCUAUAAAAAUAACAUAUACUCAAACAGAAAGCUGUGAUUUUCAAAAUACAUUUUCUUUAGGUGAUACAUUUCUUGGGUGUACAAGGGGAAUUCAAGUAAACAGUACUUGUCUCCUUCCUUUGUGGUUCACAUUUAACAAAACAAAAACAAAAAUCCUAGAAUAAACUUUUUCAAUUUACUCACAACAUGAAACAAAAUUCAGAAACAGCUGAAGAUACAGUAAACUAAAGGCAUUCAGUGUUACCCCUUGAAAAUAUUCUUAUACGACAGAAGACAAUUUAUAUUUGAUACAGGCAUAUUUACAAGGUUAUUACAACAAUACCACAGUGCAGAUAGAUGACACUGUUAAUUCAAGCCUUCAAUUCUGAGAAGGAAAAAAAAAAUCACUAGUCACUGUAAAACCAAUGCCUUCUUUUUCUCUUUUAGAACUUCUUGCCUUUUCUAUUUUUCUUUUUCUUUUCUUUCCUUUUUUUUGGGGGGGGGUAUUUUGGGGCUAAAAAGAGUACAUCUGGUAGUAGAUUCAAGAUCUUAGUGCUUAAUAAAAAUCAUCUAUAUGUUCUUUAAAAAGACAAUUUAUGAUUAGCAGUUUAUAAAUUAUUUAAAAACAAAAGUUAAA
rnacentral:lncRNA from 1 species